GACAGAGGAUGCAAGCGUUAUCCGGAAUGAUUGGGCGUAAAGCGUAUGUAGGUGGCUUUUUAAGACUGGCGUCAAAUCCCAGGGCUUAACCCUGGACAGGCGGUGGAAACUGCCAAGCUGGAGUACGGUAGGGGCAGAGGGAAUUUCCGGUGGAGCGGUGAAAUGCGUAGAGAUCGGAAAGAACACCAACGGCGAAAGCACUCUGCUGGGCCGACACUGACACUGAGAGACGAAAGCUAGGGGAGCGAAUGGG
rnacentral:rRNA from 1 species